CGAAAAUGGAAGUGACACUGUCAGCAGUGUGACCCUCACAGCUGUGCAUCCACUGGGACCCAGAAGAAAUUGCCUUUAAAUGCCGAUAGGAAAUGCCAUAGGAAUCUGGUCAGCAGAGCAUCAUGUUUGCGCUCUGAUUUGGCACUCUUCAGUCCAGCACAGAGAGAGCACUACUGGCUGCUGACACCAGAAAAAACAAGGGGUUUUCAAGGCUGCAGUGUUAAGAAAGAGUUUCACUAUGAAAGCCGUCAGUUCUCCUGACUUGGUAAGAACAGUUUUUUCCCAUGUGAUACUUAUCCUAUUGAUUUUAAUAGAAACACACUUUUAUUGCACUUGGAGAUAUGCAAAAUGCAUCUAAAGUGCAGUGAAUUUGCUCAGUCUUGGCAUCUUCAUUCUCAAGAGCCUUUUCAAAAUGUAAAUUAGAGACAAAGACUACAGAAAGAGAAAUUUUAGAGCACAUGCUAAUUGCAGAAAUCUGAGAUGGUUUCUCUGAAUGGUAGGUUGUCAGUCAGGCUUGAAUUAAUGUGAGCUCUAAGGAUUUGUAUUGCUCGCUUAGAGUAGCUCAAGAGGAAACAUGAACCUUUGCACUCAGAGGGACUGCAGAGCUAACUCCCAACUCGAUCCUCUUGCUCCCAAAGCUCUUUUAGUUAUUGUGAUCUUGUUAUCAUAAUUCAGCAACUUUAAAAAUGAAUCCUAUGCAGAUCAGUUAGUCAGGAAGUGAAAA
rnacentral:lncRNA from 1 species